rnacentral:lncRNA from 1 species
GGUUGCGGGUGCUGGUGCAGCCCCCCCCCCCCCCCCCCGCCCCGCCCCUCCCUGGCGCGGGGCGGGGGGGGGGGGACAGAGCCCCCCCUCCCGGGCGGGGGGGAGCCCCACCCGGGCCCCCCCCGGGAAAGGGGGGGGGGGGGGGGGGGGGGCACUUUGGAGCGAGGGACGGUUCACUUUUGCUGGGCUAAAAAAACAUCCUUGGAAUCUUGUUUUUUUUUGGGGGGGGGGGAGUUUAAAAUAAUCCGCUGGGAUCAAGGUGGAGCCCCUCCCUCUGGGUGAGCGAAAGCCCCCGACGGGCGUGGAUUUCGCGACCCAAACAUACCCUUGGGCGGAGGGAGGGGAGGCUUGCACCCACCGCCACCCCCCACCCACCCCCGGGCAUUUCCUGCUUCAGCCCCAGCUGGGAGAUUAAGAUGCAGAGUCUGAGCGCCCAGGGUACUCCUUUGGGGGUUGGGGGUGGAGGGGUGGGGGUCUCCUCGGAGGAGCUUCCCUUUGGGGCAAGUUUGAAGAGGCUUGGCUGUGCCCCACUGCCCCCAACGCUUUGGGAAGACAAAAACCAAUUUCACCCAGCCCCCGACUUAGGGGACUAACCGGGCAGGGGGUCCAGGGGGCACGAAAAGGGUCUGGGGGAGGCAAGGUCUGGUUUGGGCAGAGGCACCGUCUCAGCCCCCCCCCCCCCCAAGGCACAAGGGCUGCGUUCACAUGUUUAGGGUCGGCCCAAUACACUCGCCUGAAAUUUAAUCUCAUUACCUGAGUUUCCACAACACCCACCCAAAACAACAACAGGAAGGAAGGUGAGGAAGCGUAAUGAAUGCUGCAAAGAGGCUCACUCAGCUCAGCCCCUGGCUCUGCCAGUCAUCGGAUGAAGCCUGCUGUCUGCUAAACUGGCACUUCCUCCUGUGGCACUACUUGGCUGUGAAAGUCUGUCUUUCUGUCUUUUUCUUUCUCUUCCUUUCCUUUCUUUUCCUUUCCUUUCCCUUUCUUUCCUUUCCUUUCCCUUUCUUUCUUUCUUUCUCUUUCUUUCUUUUUCUCUUUCUGUCUUUCUUUUUCUUUCUUUCUUUCUUUUCCUUUUCUUUCUUUUCCUUUCCUUUCUUUCUUUCUCUUUCUUUCUCUUUCUUUCUUUCUUUUUCUUUCUUUUUCUCUUUCUUUCUUUCUUUCUUUCUUUCU